rnacentral:rRNA from 1 species
GGGUGAGUAACGCGUGGGUAACCUGCCCUGUCCAGGGGGAUAACAGUCAGAAAUGACUGCUAAUACCGCAUAAGACCACAGCACCGCAUGGUGCAGGGGUAAAAACUCCGGUGGUACAGGAUGGACCCGCGUCUGAUUAGCUGGUUGGUGAGGUAACGGCUCACCAAGGCGACGAUCAGUAGCCGGCUUGAGAGAGUGAACGGCCACAUUGGGACUGAGACACGGCCCAAACUCCUACGGGAGGCAGCAGUGGGGAAUAUUGCACAAUGGGGGAAACCCUGAUGCAGCGACGCCGCGUGAGUGAAGAAGUAUCUCGGUAUGUAAAGCUCUAUCAGCAGGGAAGAAAAUGACGGUACCUGACUAAGAAGCCCCGGCUAACUACGUGCCAGCAGCCGCGGUAAUACGUAGGGGGCAAGCGUUAUCCGGAAUUACUGGGUGUAAAGGGUGCGUAGGUGGUAUGGCAAGUCAGAAGUGAAAACCCAGGGCUUAACUCUGGGACUGCUUUUGAAACUGUCAGACUAGAGUGCAGGAGAGGUAAGCGGAAUUCCUAGUGUAGCGGUGAAAUGCGUAGAUAUUAGGAGGAACAUCAGUGGCGAAGGCGGCUUACUGGACUGAAACUGACACUGAGGCAC